AGCCGAAGUGGGCGUCGCGCCGCAACCUGCAUGUGCCUUGGGUGUGGCUCGGUCGGCAGAAGUCACAGGUUCGAAUCCUGUCGGAUGCGCCA
rnacentral:tRNA from 1 species